UACGUAGGGUGCAAGCGUUGUCCGGAAUUAUUGGGCGUAAAGAGCUCGUAGGCGGUUUGUCGCGUCUGCUGUGAAAACGCGAGGCUCAACCUCGCGCCUGCAGUGGGUACGGGCAGACUAGAGUGCGGUAGGGGAGAAUGGAAUUCCCGGUGUAGCGGUGAAAUGCGCAGAUAUCGGGAGGAACACCGGUGGCGAAGGCGGUUCUCUGGGCCUUACCUGACGCUGAGGAGCGAAAGCGUGGGGAGCAAACAGG
rnacentral:rRNA from 1 species